rnacentral:lncRNA from 1 species
GGGAUUUUCCCGUGUAUACGACCUUUGAACAGUUUAUGGCAGCAUAUUUCCCAAACUUUUGCACUAAUUUUUAAACGACUAUUAAUUAAUAUUUCUUUAAAUUACAGGACGGACAUGAAGACAUUAUUUCUUGUCACCCUCCUCUUUUGUUUGGGUGAACAAGCAUUUAUUUCAGAAAAUGUAGUUUUCGACAAAAUAAAUUCAAUUACGAC